rnacentral:rRNA from 1 species
AUGGCCAGCGUCUCAGUCGAUAAUUGGUUGGGGAGCACCAGUUUCUCGACGCAGGCCGGCUCGCAGCAGCAGGAGGCACCGCUCUCGCAGUCAUCGCCAAUGGGUUGCAGUUUGGCUGACCAGAAGUGGGAGAUAUGGUUUCAUUUAGAAGGAAGAAACCCUGUGAAAAGGGGUAUAUUUGAGUCAGAUAUUUCUUUGCUUACUCUACAAUCACUCAUUGCUAGUGAAGGGUAUGGGGACAGUGAUUACAUGUACUAUGUGAAGGAGGAGGAAAUUGGAUCUGAAAGAGUAAAGUAUUUAGGUAAUGAAGCUAGUGUUCAUGAAAUGUUGGAAUUUUUCAUCAUGUCAAGCUAG